rnacentral:lncRNA from 1 species
AGUUCUCCUGAGGAGGGUAAUAGCAAAUACUAUUCUAGAUGCCAAAGUGUGCUGUGCUAAGUUGCUUCAGUCAUGUCCAGCUCUUUGAGGCCCUAUGGACUAUAACCCACCAGGCUUCUCUGUCCUAGGGAUUUUCCAGGCAAAAAUACUGGAGUGGGUUGCCAUUUCUUUCUCCAGAGAUGCCAAGGAGGUAAGUUAAUUCAUUACAUAAAUGGAUAUCUUAGGCUAUUAAGACUUAGUUUUCUCAUGGCACCCCAGUUAAGAAGACCUGGUAUGGGGAACUGACACGAAGCCUGGCAUUUGCUUUAAAUUACUGGAGUGUGAGAUGGAUAAAACAAGGUUGGCAAAAUACUAAUAAUCUUUGGAUCUGGGUUAUGAAAACAUGGAGGUUCUUUAUGGUGUUUUCUGUCCAUUUUUGUAUGUGUAAAAGCUUCCGUAAUAGUCACUACAAACUUGGUUUUUCAAGAUGAGGAGGAGGUGAAACAGUUCUUUCUCAGGAGGAAAGAGGCCUAUUUUUUAUUUUUUUUCCUCUCUGUGUCUCUGUGGGGUGUGAGUUGGGGUGUAAAGGAAGAGAGGCGGGUCUCUUGCUUGGGAGGAGCGUUGUGUCUGUUCAGCCCUCCUUGCAGGCUCUUUUGUUCCUUCCUCCUCGGCUCACCCCUGACUGAUGGAGGGGAGCAGACUUGUCUUAGCUGGAAACCUCAGGGAAAUGUACUCAGCCAUUUCACAGCUUCUCCAUUAGUGCCUGCCUGGCUGGGAAAAGAUCUAAUCUCCGAUGGUUUUUGAUCAUCCUGAGAAGAAUGAGCCUUGGCCUCCAGACCCAGUAAAACAGACAUCCAUGGAGAACAGUGUUCGUUCCUGAGGACCUGGAGGGCUUGCAGCCCAGGAGGAUUAGCUAGAAGCAGGUAAGGAACACCUGGAGGAGUGGGAUGUGGAAGCAGCAUGGGGUCCAUACUCUGUUUAGGAGGCACAGUGGAGUGCGCUGGUAAGAAGCCAUAGGGGCUCAAUGUAUGGCUACAGCUUUGCUGUUUUCUUUGUGUUUUUUAUUUAUUUAUUUUUCAGUCCCUAGUGUUGAUAGGUGAUUUGCCUAUUUCUAUAAACUAUAAGAUUUAAAUUUAUUCUGUAAUUCAAUCUACCUUUUUAAAGCACCUAUUCUGGCCAAACCCUGCAUUUGAUACCCAGCAGGUAGUGAUAUAGUGAUAUAGAUGGGUA